rnacentral:sRNA from 1 species
GCAAGGUGUGGAGGUGCACACCUGUAAUACCAGCCACCGGGGAGGCUGAGGCAGGAGGAUCGCGAGUUCAAAGCCAGCCUCGGCAACAGUAAGGUACUAAGCAACUCAGGGAGACCCUGUCUCUA